rnacentral:rRNA from 1 species
ACAUGCAAGUCGAACGAUGAACCGCUUUCGGGCGGGGAUUAGUGGCGAACGGGUGAGUAACACGUGGGCAAUCUGCCCUGCACUCUGGGACAAGCCCUGGAAACGGGGUCUAAUACCGGAUAUGACUGUCCRUCGCAUGGUGGAUGGUGUAAAGCUCCGGCGGUGCAGGAUGAGCCCGCGGCCUAUCAGCUUGUUGGUGAGGUAGUGGCUCACCAAGGCGACGACGGGUAGCCGGCCUGAGAGGGCGACCGGCCACACUGGGACUGAGACACGGCCCAGACUCCUACGGGAGGCAGCAGUGGGGAAUAUUGCACAAUGGGCGAAAGCCUGAUGCAGCGACGCCGCGUGAGGGAUGACGGCCUUCGGGUUGUAAACCUCUUUCAGCAGGGAAGAAGCGAAAGUGACGGUACCUGCAGAAGAAGCGCCGGCUAACUACGUGCCAGCAGCCGCGGUAAUACGUAGGGCGCAAGCGUUGUCCGGAAUUAUUGGGCGUAAAGAGCUCGUAGGCGGCUUGUCACGUCGGUUGUGAAAGCCCGGGGCUUAACCCCGGGUCUGCAGUCGAUACGGGCAGGCUAGAGUUCGGUAGGGGAGAUCGGAAUUCCUGGUGUAGCGGUGAAAUGCGCAGAUAUCAGGAGGAACACCGGUGGCGAAGGCGGAUCUCUGGGCCGAUACUGACGCUGAKGAGCGAAAGCGUGGGGAGCGAACAGGAUUUAGAUACCCUGGKUAGUCCACGCCGUAAACGGUGGGCACUAGGUGUGGGCAACAUUCCACGUUGUCCGUGCCGCAGCUAACGCAUUAAGUGCCCCGCCUUGGGGAGUACGGCCGCAAGGCUUAAACUUCAAAGGAAUUGACGGGGG